CAGCCGCCGCGGUAAUACGAAGGGGGCUAGCGUUGUUCGGAAUUACUGGGCGUAAAGCGCGCGUAGGCGGUUACUCAAGUCAGAGGUGAAAGCCCGGGGCUCAACCCCGGAACUGCCUUUGAAACUAGGUGACUAGAAUCUUGGAGAGGUCAGUGGAAUUCCGAGUGUAGAGGUGAAAUUCGUAGAUAUUCGGAAGAACACCAGUGGCGAAGGCGACUGACUGGACAAGUAUUGACGCUGAGGUGCGAAAGCGUGGGGAGCAAACAGGAUUAGAUACCCCCGUAGUCCCUGUCUCUUAUAC
rnacentral:rRNA from 1 species